rnacentral:rRNA from 1 species
UGGGGAAUUUUGGACAAUGGGGGAAACCCUGAUCCAGCCAUCCCGCGUGUGCGAUGAAGGCCUUCGGGUUGUAAAGCACUUUUGGCAGGAAAGAAACGUCGCGGGUUAAUACCCCGCGGAACUGACGGUACCUGCAGAAUAAGCACCGGCUAACUACGUGCCAGCAGCCGCGGUAAUACGUAGGGUGCAAGCGUUAAUCGGAAUUACUGGGCGUAAAGCGUGCGCAGGCGGUUCGGAAAGAAAGAUGUGAAAUCCCAGAGCUUAACUUUGGAACUGCAUUUUUAACUACCGGGCUAGAGUGUGUCAGAGGGAGGUGGAAUUCCGCGUGUAGCAGUGAAAUGCGUAGAUAUGCGGAGGAACACCGAUGGCGAAGGCAGCCUCCUGGGAUAACACUGACGCUCAUGCACGAAAGCGUGGGGGAGCAAACAGGAUUAGAUACCCUGGUAGUCCACGCCCUAAACGAUGUCAACUAGCUGUUGGGGUCUUCGGACCUUGGUAGCGCAGCUAACGCGUGAAG